rnacentral:rRNA from 1 species
CUACCGCAGGCGCGCCUUCUGCUUCCGACUCGCCAGAGACACACGACCUCAAACGAGGCCGCCGCACCUCUCCUCGACGUCGGCCGCGUAGCGUUUCCCUACCUCCGGGGGAAGAGGGUCGGUCAGUGGCUAAUAUACACCAAACCAGCUACUCCUACCGCACUUUCUACCGACGAGGUGAGGCCCAUACAAACUACGCUCGUAUGUUUUGGAAACGGCAACGCAGGGUUGGAGAUGACAUAUAUAUAUACAUCCAAAAGAUAAAACGACUUGGAAUGUACAGACGUUAACCAACUGUUUCUCGUGUUAAGACAUAUAAAGGAUUACGUUUAUUGAUUUUCGUCCUUACCUAUUUUACAACGGACCGCUAGCCGCCACCUCCCGGUUACCCUCGCCCUUGCUUCAAGUGUCCGCCACCAUUGUACUGGGAGAAGCUCGGUCCUGCCGGGUAGGACCCAGGGUAGCGGUACUCACGAUUCUGGGCUAAAGAGAAGGUUGUGCUGAGUACCAAAUCUUGCGUUCCUGCAUAUAACUGACUGGACUGAUAAAAGUAAAAGUAACCGCGGUUUAUUUGGUACCACUAUCCUUUUUCCUUCACUAACUUUCCUCCUUCCUCUAACUAG